CAGAAAGCAGGUGAGCAGUUGCUAGGGGCUCGGAGAGGGGGUAUGGAGGGUUGCCACCCUGCAACCAGGGAGAGACAGGCCAAAGAACAGAGAGAGGAGCCACAGAAAGGAUUCCAAGCUCACUUCUCGGCAUGCCGUCUGCACUGCUGUGGUCCACGCCAGCAUCACCUUUUACCUGGACCAGGAGGAGAGCCGCUGGAUGCUCAGAACUCUCCCUUUUUCAGAUUAGUCUCUGCCAAAUGACUCUACACAGAAAUAUUCUGCGAUGACAGAUACACAGUGAUGGAAUUCAGGAUGAUAAAGGAAGUCGCCAUUUUUGGUAGAGGAUAUCAUUUUUCUGAAGCUGAGAACAUUAGAAUAUUUUUAACCACACGAGGCAAAUGGCCCAUAGUCAAUGUUCAAUAAAUAUUUAUUCAAUGAGCUAAUGA